CGCCUUUCUUGAGCAAAACACAAACAUAUUUGAUUGGAAAUUCAAAACUUGGUGGGAAAGAAAAUAAAAUAGUUUUGAAAAUCUUGGAGCAGGCGGGUCAAUGUAGAGAAAGUAUGUGCUGUCUCCGGUCAAAUAUUCGAAAGAAACACACAUAAUGUCACAAAAAGAACAAUGGAUCGUCGCGAGCUUCUGGUGAAUGACCAAAAGCGGUGAGGGAGAGA
ensembl:ncRNA K03H9.6 ncRNA